rnacentral:rRNA from 2 species
UGAGGAAUAUUGGUCAAUGGAGGAAACUCUGAACCAGCCAAGUCGCGUGAAGGAUGACGGUCCUAUGGAUUGUAAACUUCUUUAGUAGGUGAGUAAGGAUAGGUACGUGUACCUAUUAGAAAGUAGCCUAAGAAUAAGUAUCGGCUAACUCCGUGCCAGCAGCCGCGGUAAUACGGAGGAUACGAGCGUUAUCCGGAUUUAUUGGGUUUAAAGGGUGCGUAGGUGGCUGAUUAAGUCAGUGGUGAAAAGCUAUGGCUCAACCAUAGUCUUGCCGUUGAUACUGGUUAGCUUGAGUGUAGAUGAUGUAGGCGGAAUGCGUAGUGUAGCGGUGAAAUGCAUAGAUAUUACGCAGAACUCCGAUUGCGAAGGCAGCUUACAAAACUACUACUGACACUGAGGCACGAAAGCGUGGGUAUCAAACAGG